UGGGGAAUUUUGGACAAUGGGCGAAAGCCUGAUCCAGCAAUGCCGCGUGUGUGAAGAAGGCCUUCGGUUGUAAAGCACUUUUGUCCGGAAAGAAAUCCUUGGCUCUAAUACAGUCGGGGGAUGACGGUACCGGAAGAAUAAGCACCGGCUAACUACGUGCCAGCAGCCGCGGUAAUACGUAGGGUGCAAGCGUUAAUCGGAAUUACUGGGCGUAAAGCGUGCGCAGGCGGUUUGCUAAGACCGGUNUGAAAUCCCCGGGCUCAACCUGGGAACUGCAUUGGUGACUGGCAGGCUAGAGUAUGGCAGAGGGGGGUAGAAUUCCACGUGUAGCAGUGAAAUGCGUAGAGAUGUGGAGGAAUACCGAUGGCGAAGGCAGCCCCCUGGGCCAAUACUGACGCUCAUGCACGAAAGCGUGGGGAGCAAACAGGAUUAGAUACCCUGGUAGUCCACGCCCUAAAACGAUGUCAACUAGUUGUUGGGGAUUCAUUCUAGUAACGUAGCUAACGCGUGAAGUUGACCGCCU
rnacentral:rRNA from 1 species